AUAUGUACUAAUAGUCUCUUGCAAUUUGUGUGGAUUUGGCAGUGGCACGUUUCGAUUUCCUGUGGGGAGAUGCCACAUACCUCGAGGCCACACUCGAGAAUCUCGAGUUCUCUAAUGAACUUGGAUGUAAGGGCGGCCCUGGUGUGGGAGGCGGCGUGGCCUCGGCAGAAGGACCAGACGGAGUCCAGUGUGGAAGGGAGCAAGAAGGAAGGGACAAUUUUUUCGGGUCGAUUAUUGUUGUUCUGGGUUGAUUACCACAUCAACUAAGUUGUGUUCUCUUUUAAGCUCUCGAUCUGGAGCUGUACAUGCCCAGGAUGGUCUUGACAGCGCUGCUGCUGCUACUGGUUAAUUAUGAGGACUUGGUGCUCCAUUAUCUCCUCAUGUCACUUAUGUGGGUGGCGAGGAGAUCAACGAGAUGUCUCGCACCUCCGGUGCACGAUGACAAGAUGGUGGGGCCUUUUGGCGUUCUUGCAAUCCGGUUUCCUCGGCCAGAGUUG